rnacentral:ncRNA from 1 species
GUAAAAACAAUGACGAAAGCCCAAACAGGCUGGUAAAUCAGGGAAUGACGUUCACGAGACUGCAAGACGUCUGUUACCAAAAUGUUUGUCUUCACUUUCUGAGUUGACUUUUGAGGUGGCAACACUUAGAAAGCUCCGGCCUGGCCGUUACCUUGUUGAGUGCAUGAGGUUUUUUAAUCAUGAACAAGGGUGGUACCGCGAUGCUUCGUCCCUUUU